rnacentral:lncRNA from 1 species
UUUCUUUAUAGCCACAAUAAUUCAUAUACUUUGAUGGGGGGAUUCCCCUGCUCUGCUCUCAUAAUCUACAGCUACGUGUUCGUGUUCUCUUUCUCUUUGCUAUUGUGGGAACCAUUAAACAAGUGGCUGUCUGGCUCCCUAUUUACCAGUUACAAUCAUCGUCAUCGUCAUCAUAAUGGUUGUGGUCUUUGUGCCCACUUGGUGUUUGAUGAAAUUAC